GCAAGUCGAGCGGAAACGAUCCUAGCUUGCUAGGAGGCGUCGAGCGGCGGACGGGUGAGUAACGCGUAGGAAUUUGCCCAGUAGUGGGGGAUAGCCCGGGGAAACCCGGAUUAAUACCGCAUACGCCCUAUGGGGGAAAGCAGGGGAUCUUCGGACCUUGCGCUAUUGGAUGAGCCUGCGUCGGAUUAGCUUGUUGGUGGGGUAAUGGCCUACCAAGGCGACGAUCUAUAACUGGUCUGAGAGGAUGACC
rnacentral:rRNA from 1 species